GAGAGAGGAGAGAGAGAGAAACUGCAGCUAGGGGAGUACUAUGAGGUGCUGGAGCACUGCUCCUCUAUACUGAACAAAUACGAAGGUGAGAGAGAGAGAGAGAGAGAGAAACUGCAGCUAGGGGAGUACUAUGAGGUGCUGGAGCACUGCUCCUCUAUACUGAACAAAUACGAAGGAGAGAGAGAGAGAGAGAGAGAGAAACUGCAGCUAGGGGAGUACUAUGAGGUGCUGGAGCACUGCUCCUCUAUACUGAACAAAUACGAAGGUGAGAGAGAGAGAGAGAGAGAGAGAAACUGCAGCUAGGGGAGUACUAUGAGGUGCUGGAGCACUGCUCCUCUAUACUGAACAAAUACGAAGGUGAGAGAGAGAGAGAGGAGAGAGAGAGAGAAACUGCAGCUAGGGGAGUACUAUGAGGUGCUGGAGCACUGCUCCUCUAUACUGAACAAAUACGAAGGAGAGAGAGA